rnacentral:rRNA from 1 species
UCCCUCAUCAUCAAAAGGAAAAAAAAGACUUGAGGUGCAUCGAGGAGCGGAACCCUAUCUUCACCGCCUUUUCUUCUCCGCCGGCAAAUAAACACUGAAACUGGAAUCCCACGCUUGUUCUUCACCAAUGAAGACAAUGCACAAGGCAACUGAAUCUGCUUAUGAUGAAGAUAAUAGUAAAGGUAAGGAUGUGCCAAGCAUGGAAGAAAACGACCCAUGGAAUCCUUCUUAUCCUCCUUGUGCUCCUGGUCCUGCUAAAGACUUGACUGACCAUAUCAAAUUAAUCAAGGAGUGGAUGUGUGAAAGACAUGCUUUCCUUGCUGUCUCCUGAGCAACCCAUACAAUCAUCCCAGACCGUACUCCUGAGCCAUUGAAUGAUGCCUUCGUCGAUAAAUUACCCCGCUUGGUGGCCAUCCUGGGGAAGGAUAGUGUCAGGCUUUUCCUCAACUUAUUCAAGGAUGACACACUGGGAUUGGCUUGGGGUUUCGUCAUAACCCCACAGACCUUCAAUCAGAUGAUUGUGCAAAAUGCCUUGCGAUGCGCGAAAGUUGCCUUGGAGGGCAAGGCUCCUGAGCUCAAUGGGCACCGCGCCAAUCCCAACUACAUGAAUUCAUGUGGGUACUUUCCCCUCCACCAAGCUGCUGAAAUGUUCUCUGCCGACAUGAUCAAAUUGCUCUUCCACUAUGGCGCAUCGGCCAAUUUGCGUACGUCUAGCCCUGAAGUCAUCGAGGGCCUACUCCCACUACAUGUUGCAGUUGAGAACGCUUGCCGGCAUAAGUUUCUUGAGGACAACCUAUUACCUGACAAAGAGAAUACCGACUAUGUCUACAUGCUCAUUCAACUGGUUUGCUUACCUGAAAUGAAGAUCUUCUUGGAUACAAUCAGACUGAUUGCAGAAAGAACAGAUGAUCUACUUGCUGUGCUCUGGAAAUACAUAUAGGAUGGAAAGCUUGCCGAAACAACAGUUUUGCUCCUGGCAGCUCAAAAGAAGAUCCGCGCGGGAUCUUCUUUCAAGACAACUGGCAAUAGCAAGACAGAUGGGUUUAGUAUUAUCUCAAAUCUAUGUACAAAGGAUCUUGUUGCCAUAGAUUUGGAGAUUGCUCAAAACAGAGCUGUGAAGAAGCAGCAGCUGAAGGCGGAGAAAAGGCUUAGGCGUAUGGCAUUGUUGCUUGUCAUUGUAAUUUCCGAAGCUGGUGAAGCUCUUGAUUCAUACAUUCGGGCGCAUCCAGAGGUGCCUUAUGCCACACAGGUGGCCCACGUCGAGGUCCUGAAACGUGUCUCAUCGAUUCUCAAGAACCGUCGUUUUUUUCCUACUGGAGAAUGCAUCAACAUAGGAAACAUCUGCCCCUAUGAUCAACAAUCGUCCAGGUUGUCCGGUGAAGAGUUGCCCAACAAAUAUGAUGGGUAUGCUACAGCUGAGAAGGCUGCCAGAAUGAAACAACCUAGAGGAUGGAAGCUCGAACAUGCAAGGAGAAGCUUCAUCCCAUGCUUGAAAUCAGUGUUAUCAUCAUCCAAGUUGGAAGCAAGGGCAUCUCCCAUAUAUCCCUUGAUAGAAAUCAAAAGCAUGAGAGAGACUGAGGAAAUUUGGAAUAAAUCAGCAACCGAAGGAUCCUCUUCAAUUCCAAAUAAAAAUCUUGGUUUGUUGGGAAGAGUUCUGCAAUUAACAAGUAGUCAUCAAUCCAGAAGGCUAUUCGGUACUGCUGCAUCGACGGUCUUGAAACUUUUAAAGCAUGCAUGAGUUGAGAGUUUCUCAGAAGAGAAGUUACUUCUCUCUCAUCAUUUUCAAGUCUGCUCAUUAUUGCUUCCAUGCUAUCUUAGCCGGUGUGGCUUUCGAUCUAUGCAGAUACAGAAGCGCCUGUUGUGACCUUAUGCACAGAUGUGGUGCAAACAUAUUUUAUUUCAGUGGCAUGCUCCUAACGUGCUUAAGCGCGCAUGUAUCCCUCACAUUUGCCUGGAUGUAUCUCUCGCAUUUGCCUGGAUUUAAACUCUAGCUACAUAUAGUAGCAUUUGAACCACUCUGACCCACUGAGCUUGCGUACAUGGUCGAUCGUGCAUUCCUUAGGAUAUUGAACAGUUUGCGUGUAUAUGAUUUUACUCCGCUUGGGGAUGCGGACUUAAAAAUUCUCGUAUGGAAACCAGUGCUACAAAUUUCUACUGAUCUCAUUGAAUUAACUGAAGCUUAAAAUAGAUUUUAUAGUCUGUAAGAUUUAAUAGGAUAUAUUUGAACUUGGAACGUAAGUUGUUUAAAUUUUAUUUUGGUUUGUGUCGG